CUUGAGUGAUGGGGGGACGCAGGAGGAUAGGAGAUCACGCAGCUGGAUACGCGUGUUUAAGCAGGUAGGCUGGAAAUGAGGCAAUUCCCGUUUCCGUGAAGGCUGAGCUGUGAUGACGAGGGAAAUUAAGUACCGAAGUCUUCGAUUCCACACUGCCAAGAAAAGCCUCUAGCGAGAUGUAAGGUGCCCGUACCGCAAACCGACACAGGUAGGCGAGGAGAGAAUCCUAAGGUGAGCGAGUGAACUCUCGUUAAGGAACUCGGCAAAAUGACCCCGUAACUUCGGGAGAAGGGGUGCUCUUGCGGGUGAAAGCCUGCGAGAGCCGCAGUGAAUAGGCCCAGGCGACUGUUUAGCAAAAACACAGGUCUCUGCAAAGCCGCAAGGCGACGUAUAGGGGCUGACGCCUGCCCGGUGCUGGAAGGUUAAGAGGAGGGCUUAGCGCAAGCGAAGGUCUGAAUUGAAGCCCCAGUAAACGGCGGCCGUAACAAUAACGGUCCUAAGGUAGCGAAAUUCCUUGUCGGGUAAGUUCCGACCCGCACGAAAGGCGCAACGAUCUGGGCACUGUCUCAACGAGAGACUCGGUGAAAUUAUAGUACCUGUGAAGAUGCAGGUUACCCGCGACAGGACGGAAAGACCCCGUGGAGCUUUAUUGCAGCCUGAUAUUGAAUUUUGGCACAGUCUGCACAGGAUAGGCAGGAGCCUUGGAAGCCGGAGCGCCAGCUUCGGUGGAGGCGCUGGUGGGAUACUGCCCUGACUGUGUUGAACUUCUAACCCACACCCGUGAUCCGGGUGGGAGACAGUGUCAGGCGGGCAGUUUGACUGGGGCGGUCGCCUCCUAAAGUGUAACGGAGGCGCCCAAAGGUUCCCUCAGAAUGGUUGGAAAUCAUUCGCAGAGUGUAAAGGCAUAAGGGAGCUUGACUGCGAGACCUACAAGUCGAGCAGGGACGAAAGUCGGGCUUAGUGAUCCGGUGGUUCCGUAUGGAAGGGCCAUCGCUCAACGGAUAAAAGCUACCCCGGGGAUAACAGGCUUAUCUCCCCCAAGAGUCCACUCGACGGGGAGGUUUGGCACCUCGAUGUCGGCUCAUCGCAUCCUGGGGCUGUAGUCGGUCCCAAGGGUUGGGCUGUUCGCCCAUUAAAGCGGUACGCGAGCUGGGUUCAGAACGUCGUGAGACAGUUCGGUCCCUAUCCGUCGCGGGCGCAGGAAAUUUGAGAGGAGCUGUCCUUAGUACGAGAGGACCGGGAUGGACGCACCGCUGGUGAACCAGUUGUCUCGCCAGAGGCAUCGCUGGGUAGCUACGUGCGGACGGGAUAAGUGCUGAAAGCAUCUAAGCACGAAGCCCCCUCAAGAUGAGAUUUCCCAUUACGCAAGUAAGUAAGAUCCCUUGAAGAAGACGAGGUAGAUAGGUUCGGGGUGGAAGUGUGGCGACACAUGGAGCUGACGAAUACUAAUCGAUCGAGGACUUAACC
rnacentral:rRNA from 1 species